rnacentral:rRNA from 1 species
CCUACGGGAGGCAGCAGUAAGGAAUAUUGGUCAAUGGAGGCAACUCUGAACCAGCCAUGCCGCGUGCAGGAUGAAGGCCCUAUGGGUCGUAAACUGCUUUUACACAAGAGAAAACCCGAGUACGUGUACUCGGUUGAUAGUAUUGUGAGAAUAAGCAUCGGCUAACUUCGUGCCAGCAGCCGCGGUAAGACGAAGGAUGCAAGCGUUAUCCGGAUUCAUUGGGUUUAAAGGGUGCGUAGGCGGACCUGUAAGUCAGUGGUGAAAUCUCUUUGCUUAACAAAGAAACUGCCAUUGAUACUGCAAGUCUAGAGUAUAGAUGACGUUGGCGGAAUAUGACAUGUAGUGGUGAAAUACUUAGAUAUGUCAUAGAACACCGAUUGCGAAGGCAGCUAACGAAACUAUAACUGACGCUGAGGCACGAAAGUGCGGGGAUCAAACAGGAUUAGAUACCCUGGUAGUCCGCACCGUAAACGAUGAUUACUCGUUGUUGGCAAUAUGACCGUCAGCGACCAAGCGAAAGCGAUAAGUAAUCCACCUGGGGAGUACGCCGGCAACGGUGAAACUCAAAUGAAUUGACGGCUGAGAGNGCGAGGCGACACGAGGGAGGAGG